rnacentral:tRNA from 1 species
GGGGACUUAGCUCAGUUGGCUAGAGCGCCUGCUUUGCACGCAGGAGGUCAGGAGUUCGACUCUCCUAGUCUCCACCA